GACGAACGCUGGCGGCGUGCCUAACACAUGCAAGUCGAGCGAGUGGAUCUCCUUCGGGAGUGAAGCUAGCGGCGGACGGGUGAGUAACACGUGGGCAACCUGCCUCAUAGAGGGGAAUAGCCUUUCGAAAGGAAGAUUAAUACCGCAUAAGAUUGUAGCUUCGCAUGAAGUAGCAAUUAAAGGAGCAAUCCGCUAUGAGAUGGGCCCGCGGCGCAUUAGCUAGUUGGUGAGGUAACGGCUCACCAAGGCGACGAUGCGUAGCCGACCUGAGAGGGUGAUCGGCCAAAUUGGGACUGAGACACGGCCCAGACUCCUACGGGAGGCAGCAGUGGGGAAUAUUGCACAAUGGGGGAAACCCUGAUGCAGCAACGCCGCGUGAGUGAUGACGGCCUUCGGGUUGUAAAGCUCUGUCUUCAGGGACGAUAAUGACGGUACCUGAGGAGGAAGCCACGGCUAACUACGUGCCAGCCGCCGCGGUAA
rnacentral:rRNA from 1 species